AGCAGCCGCGGUAAUUCCAGCUCCAAUAGCGUAUAUUAAAGUUGUUGCAGUUAAAAAGCUCGUAGUUGAAUUUCGGGGUUCUACCGUCGGUCGGGCUACCAAGUCUGUACUGGUGUGUAGAACUUCUACCUUCUGGGGAACCGUCAUGUUAUUAAUUUAGCGUGGUGGGAAACCAGGACCUUUACCUUGAAAAAAUUAGAGUGUUCAAAGCAGGCUUACGUCUGAAUACAUUAGCAUGGAAUAAUAGAAUAGGACGGUGGUCCUGUUUUGUUGGUUUCUGAAUCACCGUAAUGAUUAAUAGGGAUAGUUGGGGGCAUUAGUAUUCAAUUGUCAGAGGUGAAAUUCUUGGAUUUAUUGAAGACUAACUUCUGCGAAAGCAUUUGCCAAGGAUGUUUUCAUUAAUCAAGAACGAAAGUUAGGGGAUCGAAGACGAUCAGAUACCGUCGUAGU
rnacentral:rRNA from 1 species